rnacentral:rRNA from 1 species
GUAGGUGGCAAGCGUUGUCCGGAAUUAUUGGGCGUAAAGCGCGCGCAGGUGGUUCUUUAAGUCUGAUGGUCGAAAGCCCCCCGGGCUCAACCGGGGAGGGUCAUUGGAAACUGGGGAACUUGAGUGCAGGAGAGGAAAGUGGAAUUCCACGUGUAGCGGUGAAAUGCGUAGAUAUGUGGAGGAACACCAGUGGCGAAGGCGACUUUCUGGCCUGUAACUGACACUGAGGCGCGAAAGCGUGGGGAGCAAACAGGAUUAGAUACCCUGGUAGUCCACGCCGUAAACGAUGAGUGCUAAGUGUUGGGGGGUUUCCGCCCCUCAGUGCUGCAGCUAACGCAUUAAGCACUCCGCCUGGGGAGUACGGUCGCAAAGACUG